rnacentral:ncRNA from 1 species
CAUGAUUAGUUUAGCUAGGAUUGUUUAGAGGGUAGUCGCAGUCGCCCCAACUCCGAUUCACAAACUAUUUUUAUUGGUCUUGUGAGUAGGGUGAGAAACAACAUCUUGUUGGAAACUUUAAUCUUUUUUUAAAAAAUAAGGAACUGU